UAGAAUAAAGUAUAUUUACGGUAAUUUUUGGAGUUACAAGAACUAGUUGACUCUAGUUGUUCUAA
rnacentral:tRNA from 1 species